rnacentral:ncRNA from 1 species
UGCGACAGAGCCGAGGAGAACUAGUUCGUCUAGUUAACUCAAACAGAGGCACAUGAAGUGAUUCACCUACCGGAUUUGUAGGGUGUCGGAAUCUUUUUUUGUGGAGAAG